GAUGAACGCUAGCUACAGGCUUAACACAUGCAAGUCGAGGGGUAACGAGAGGAAAGCUUGCUUUCCUUGUCGACGACCGGCGCACGGGUGAGUAACGCAUAUCCAACCUGCCCCCAACUAGGGAAUAACCUUGCGAAAGUAAGACUAAUACCCUAUAAUUUCCUCAGAUGUCAUCUGACGAGGAAUAAAGAUUUAUCGGUUGUGGAUGGGGAUGCGUCUGAUUAGCUUGUUGGCGGGGUAACGGCCCACCAAGGCAACGAUCAGUAGGGGUUCUGAGAGGAAGGUCCCCCACAUUGGAACUGAGACACGGUCCAAACUCCUACGGGAGGCAGCAGUGAGGAAUAUUGGUCAAUGGGCGGAAGCCUGAACCAGCCAAGUAGCGUGAAGGAUGAAGGUCCUAUGGAUUGUAAACUUCUUUUAUAGUAGAAUAAAGUGACCUACGUGUAGGUUUUUGUAUGUAUACUAUGAAUAAGGAUCGGCUAACUCCGUGCCAGCCGCCGCCGUAA
rnacentral:rRNA from 1 species